GCCAAGCCACUAAUUUCAUAAUUUUCUUCACAAUUGAUGCCAGAGGACAAUUUAACUCAUGUAGAAUUUUAACAUCGUUGGAUCGUAAGUAUUUGAACUUUCAAUCCCGUGAAAAAAUUUCCAACAAAGCCCCCUUAAUUUGUUUGAUUGUCCCACGCCAAUCUAAGGAUCUCUCUUCCAUUCUUAUCUCACACCUUGUGGUCCACAAUGCCUAAGUAAUUAUCACUGGGAAUAAACCACGACAGAGCCCAGUUUGAGAAAAACACGAUGCACGCAUCCACUAUAGAUUGAUCACCCCUUGCCAUGAACGAACUUGAGAGAGCCGAAUUCCCAAUACUGCAGCAAAGUAAUCCCAGACUUUCUUCGCCAACUCGCCUCCACAUAACACAUGGUCAAUCGUUUCCUGCUGAGACAUAACACAACAGUUACAUUUUAAGACCAAAGGUAUACCAAGCUUGGCAAUCGACGCAUCAACAGGUUUGCUCCUUCACUAAACUGUAAUACGUGUGCUAUGUACUUGCGAAGCGAUUUGUGUGGGGGCCAACACUUGGGUUGUGGAGCAGAGAUGCUGAUUAUUGGUUUCUUAUGCUCUACCUGAUCAUCAAUUCUUCAUAAAUUACUUGACAGUUGUAUUUAUUGUUGCUAGAAGGGAACUUGCUUGUGCAUUCCGUUUGAAGAAAAGUCCAAGGUUAGUGAGAUGAUAUGAGAUUAGUUUUUUAUUUUUUAUUUUUUAUUUUUAUAUAUAUUUGGGGAGGGGCGUUUCGAAUCCAAAAUUUCUAUUUUAGAGGUUGAGAGUUUAUGUCAUUUAUUGAAAUAUGUAAAUAGUUAUUGUAAAAUAGUUAGUUUUAUAGACCCUUAAUUGUAAAUAUAGUCUUACUGAUGCA